UACGUAGGGUCCGAGCGUUGUCCGGAAUUAUUGGGCGUAAAGGGCUCGUAGGCGGUUCGUCACGUCGGGAGUGAAAACUCGGAGCUUAACUCCGAGCCUGCUUCCGAUACGGGCAGACUAGAGUUCGGUAGGGGAGACUGGAAUUCCUGGUGUAGCGGUGAAAUGCGUAGAUAUCAAGAGGAACGCCGGUGGCGAAAGCGACUCACUGGACCGCUCCUGACACUGAGGUGCGAGAGCUAGGGGAGCAAACGGG
rnacentral:rRNA from 1 species